AGCUCGCUUCUCAGCUUGAGCUCACUUCUCAACUUUAGUUUGCUUAUCAGCUUCAGCUAACUUCUCAGCAGCUCGUCUUAGCUUUAGCUCUCUUUUCAGCAGCUUUCCCCAGCUCGCUCCCCAGCUCGCACCUCAACAUCUCUCUAGCAGUUCAUUCCAGCUCGUUUCUUAGCAGUCACAGCUUGCUUCACAGCAGCUCUCUUCAGCUCUUACAGCAGUUUCAGCUCGCUUCUCAGCAGCUUCAACUCGCUUCUCUGCCGUUCUCAUAAGCAUGCUUCUUAGCAGCUCUUGUCAAUUAUUAUGUAGUUGCUAUCUCAGGAUAUAGCCGAGCCAUGCCUCACAUAAGAAAAAAUCGUGCCCUGUAAAUCGUGCCCUGUCUCGCAUAACACAAAAGCCGAGCCAUGCCUCGCAAAAAGAAAAAAAAACAAAAAAAAUGUUCGGGAAUCCGAACUCAACUCAUCCUUAUAAUCACUGAACUACGGAUGGCUUGAUCCCUUUUCGGGUACGUAGGCAGUCCUUCAUCGGAUGCAGCUGCAACUAUUAAUAAAAGUAAAGUUAGCGUUUUUCUAGAACGUAUUCCUACUUUAUUCAAAACGAAUCAUUUGUCGACAUCCUGGCCAGAUGAUCGACUUGCAUCAGAUGCAUACAACUCUUUAAGAGAUUAAGCCGAACCCAGAGGAUCAUUGGAUCGAUUUCGCAUACAACUCUUUUACGGGAUUAAGCCGAACCCAGAGGAUCAUUGGAUCAAUUUUGCACCCGAGUUCUAGUCCGGACGGAAUCAUUAGCCGAACCCAGAGUUUUAUUUCGCAGUCCGCUUCCGACCUAGACAAAGGGGUAAGCCGAGCCCAGAGUUUCCUCUCGCUCCCCGCAAAAGCACACUACUGCUUGGGAUAGAACACCC
rnacentral:lncRNA from 1 species